rnacentral:ncRNA from 1 species
AGGGGAAAUCGCAGCCUCCCCUUUAAAUGGCAUUCCCAUUCAAGCGCUGC